UAAAAAUGAACACUAUGUCUAAGUCGUCUCAUCACCAGUGUGAUAAGUCCUCUUCAGCUCCACCGCAUAAUCCGUCGGCAGCGGCAGCGCUCUACAUGCUACACAUCUCUCUAUCUCUCUUAAACCGAUCUGAAGGUGGAGCAAUGGACCAUAUAUAUGUGGAUCGAAUUGCUAAAAACUGCUAAGAAUGAAAUGGAGCUGAGACGAGUCCGGUCCAAGCUCGGCUAAGCCAAGCUCUUAUAGAGUUUGUGGUUGAAGAAUUCAAAGAUGCAAGAAUUAUCAUACUUCUGGUAUGUGCAGCAUGGCCUUAAAGAAAAGAAGGAUGGUAUGAUGGAGGAAGUGUCAUUCAUAGUAUUUGAGAAUACCACAUUCAAUAGCUAGCUAUGGCUUUUGUGUAAUUUCUGAUAUUGUAACAUUCAGAAAUUACUUACAAGAAGAGAGAAGCUAUUGAGUGUGGUAUUAUCAAACCCUAUGAAGAUUCAAAUGAUGCAGUAGUAGCAUGUUGAAGGUCUAAUCCAUCCGUAUAAUUUUUCCUCUUUGAUGACAGUUCUGCGUUGGGCAGGUACUAACCCUCGUGUACUCUUCUCACUACCCUAUAGGGUCAAGAGUUGCAAAUUUUUUACUUCUACUA